rnacentral:lncRNA from 1 species
GGACAUGGUCAGUGGUGGCCUUGGCAGUGGUGGGGGAAUGGUUGGACUCAGUGACCUUAAGAGCUUUCCCAACCUCAACAAUUCCACAAUUUUAUGACCAGCAUCUCUCCAAGGCACUUGUGGUGCUGAGUUUGGUCUUCCAUCUGCUGCUGUCAGGCAUUCCAUCCCCACCAGCCUUUCCAGGACCUUCCAUCGCACGCUUCCUUUCCCUCUCCUGGGAAAUCCUCCAGUCCCUUGGCCAGGUCUGCACUGUAAGGGUGCAGAGCACUGGCCCAUCUGCUUUUCUUUAUUUACUCUACAGACUUCUGUUUUCUUUUAUCUUUUCUCAUUACUUGAAUGAAUUUGUUUAAGAACUCUGUUCUCAUGAGUGUUUCUCUGAUGGGUGAGAAGUGAUGUGUGACUGAGAGGGAUUGAAAAGAAAACAGCAGAACUCUGGCAGCACCAAGAGAGAAAUGAAACUCAAGGACAAGAAUUCAAGUGGCUCUGGCCUCUCCUGGGGCCAUGGAGAACGUGUUUCCACUUGUAUGAAAAUUCUGUGCAUUUCUCAGGUUCAAACAUCUGCUGAGGGUUUUGUAACCAACAUUUCAGGUCUGUUCAAGAGGCCUUGGUCAGCAGGAACUAGAACUGGAAUGUGAGCUAGAACAGAGCAGAUCUUCCUGGGCUGGGCUGACAAUUGGAAUUAAUUUUGUGUGGUGUUAAAAUAACACUGGUUCCUGUUAACAGAGGACAGCAUAAUCCAGAUUAAGCAAGAGGAAGGGUUGUGCACUGCAGAUCGGAAGGAGGAGGCUGCAGAAGCUUCUGGAGAGCCCUGCCCAGCAGAGCGAGGAUUUUACGAGCCUGAGGCAUCCAGUCAGACCAGGAAGGGCAGCGAGGUGGAUGCCAGGGAGCUGCCAGGCACAGAGGGUGAGCACCUCCAGAGAGAUCCUGCCACAGGAUUUCAGACUUAUGCAAGGGGUGUUUCAUCGUGGAUUAAACAAGAGGAGCCACCCUGCUCUGAACAACAGGACUUGCAGAAAGAGGAAAUCUCUGCAGAUCCAAGCACAGAUGAAAAUCUGAAGAGGGACCAUCCAGCAAAUUCCUUGGAGAGCAAGACCUGUGACUUAGAGGUACCGGGAAGGCCGGGAGAGGUGUUCCCCAAAGAUCCCAGCCAUGGAGUGACAUGGG